rnacentral:tRNA from 1 species
GGAGAGAUGCCCGAGAGGCCGAAGGGGCACGAUUGGAAAUCGUGUAUUCCGCUAAUAACGGGAUCGAGGGUUCGACUCCCUCUCUCUCCGCCA